CCACGUCAUAUAAAAGGGAUUGAGCUAGAAAAGGCACGUUGGCUGGGCUUUGUAAAAAAUAUAAUUUGCCCAUCCUCAGCCCAAAACCUAUUUGUUUCAAACUUGCCUUUCUCUCCCCCUCGACUCUUCCACUUCAUCUUCUCUAAUCUCUGAGUUUUCCGAGUUUCACGUUACUUUAGCCACUUAUGAUCAAUCAGUGAUCUUUAAACUCUUUUUCAAUGUUCCGUUCCACCUCUCUAUGAUUCUUCAUCCUUCAAAUCCAGACGUUUUAUGAUAUUUAUCAACCACUAGCUAUAAAUUUAGGGCCAUACACACGAACCCUCACCUCCCCAACCAAGUUUUUGCAGUUCUUGAUUUUUUACUCCCCUUUUCCGUUCUGGCUAACCUUGAUUUUGUCUUCCUACUUUACUUUCAACAAUCUGCAUCUUUGCCGUUUUCUCAAGAGGUUGUCCACUCAUCCUUUAUUGGGAUUAUUAGGUUUUUAUUCUCUCUUGCAUGUUCAAUUGCCAUUAAUGUCAAUACCAAGAGCUUCUCGCAGAUAAACAUGUAAUUAGUUGACUCCCUUUUGGAUUUUCAGAACUGUUAUCAUUCUCUGCAAGUCAAUCUUUACUUUCCCUUUUUCCGUCACGUUUUAUACCUCUUAUGAGUUUUUGAUAAUCAAUAAACUAAAUAUAUGUAGUAAAACCUAUCAUCUUACUUCGUUGAUUAUUCACAUAAUUAUACUUUUUGUUUUGGUUUUGACUCUAAUGAUUGUUGCUGUUGAUUGAACGUGAUUUUAGUUGUUCUUUCCAGGUUCUGAUUGCAUCACCUCCAAGAAAAAAACUCAGUCAGCUGAUUGCUUCAUGACUUUCCUACGUUGGCUUAUUGAAUCUCAUAUUCAGGAGCUGGAGGAGGAACUGAAGCUUCUCAAGAAUCACUCUCAACCAAAUAUAGUUGGAUGCAGCUGUCCUCACAAAUGGCGUGUAUGGCGACAUAGAUGAUGGUACCAUUACCGAUAGCGAUCUGAAGACAGAAAAACUCACACAUUACAUAGAGCAUCCCCGUCCCAUAGAGCCACCUGCAGAGGCAGCGCCUCCACCACCCCAGCCUCUUAAACUGACAAAGAGGGAGCAGAAGAAACUUCGAACCCAGAGGCGUCUGGCAUAAGAAAAGGAGAAACAGGAGAUGAUCAGACAAGGGUUGCUUGAACCACCAAAAGCAAAGGUGAAAAUGAGCAAUCUGAUGAAGGUUCUUGGGUCUGAAGCAACGCAAGACCCAACCAAGCUUGAGAAGGAGAUCCGCACAGCAGCAGCCAAACGUGAACAGGCUCACACGGACAGGAACGCAGCACGGAAGCUAACACCGGUACACCAACUACUUCUUUGUUUCUUUUAUAACUCUUUCAUUCAAUACCACUGAGAAUUUUUUUUUUUUUUAUAACAUGAAACAUGGAAACAAGAACUUGUGAUUGGUUUAUUCGUAGAAAUCUGUGUUUUUGUGGACUUAUGGUCCAUCAGAGAGAGAGAGAGAGAGAGAAGGUUUUUCUUUGUGAGAAGGUUCUUCUCAUGGGAGAUGGGAGAACGAGCUUUUGGAUGGAGAAGAGACGCUGGAAGAAAUAUUGGAUCUUAUCAGUGAGGAAGCUGGAGCAUUGGCCACAGCUGAGGGAACCAAGAGCUUGAACUCAAGUUUCAUCUAAACUAAUGCUCUUCAGGAAUUUUUAAAGGUCGAUUUGUUUGUAUCAGAUUCAGCUUUGCAGAGUGAUUGUUUAAAAAAAAAAAAAAUUCAUCUGUUGCAGCUUAGUCGGUUGUGGUUGUGGUUGUUAAAGACAAGAGUGAUGGCUAGAAGGCUAAGGAAGAAGAUGAAGAUCAAUUGAAAAGUGGGUGGUUGGGUAAAUGAGGAGACCGCAAUAGUCUAAGAAGGUUGUGAUUGAACAUUUGAGGUCUCAUAAGGGAAGUAACUAUAAAAUGAUUUUCACCUCCUCGAUUAUUUGUCGAUGCUGGAGGGGUUGUGAUUAACAGAGUUUUCUUUGGUGGUGGACAAAAGAAAAAUAUUAAAAGAGAUUUUGUUUGAUACACUAAGCGUUUAGAUUCGAGACUCCCCUUAUAUAGAGUAAAAUUUAGGAUCAGAGUUCUUAAACAAAGUAAUUUCAAGCAAGUAUAUUUUCUGAUUUACAUCUCAGGACCUCUCCUGUGUCUAUAUACUAAAUAUUUUAGAGUAUUCAGUCUCCUUAUAUUCAAAAAUUCAGAAGCAGAGAGUAUAUGUUCUUACACACUGACUUAAGGCCGAUAACAUCAUAUAACAACAUAUUCUGUUUUUUUUUCAAAUGCAAGCAGUAUUGAAUUCACAUAGAGAGCACAUACUUUGUUGGAGGCAUGAGCUAUGAUUAAGCAACAUCAGUCAUCAAGACUAUUAUGUGAGAAAAUCAAAUUCUGUGAUCAUACAACGCAAACACAAGCUUAUGAGGACAAGUUCUCCACACUUUACUUUAUUAUAUCAUAUUGAAAUUUGAGAUGAAUUGAAAAAUCAACAAGACAUGAGUUUUAAAAUCCAUCCUCGCACAAAUUUCCGGCCACAACAACGGCUACUCGCCUUUUUGAACAUGGGUUAUAACUUAUAACCAAUCUAUGUUUUAGAAAAAAACAAUUAAAAAUGGGAAUAAAAACAGUUGCAUGUUACUUUUUUAGACAAGACUUACACGCGCACAAAUGAACAUAUAUGUUACAUUUAUAUGAUUUUCAGUCAUUAUUUUCAGUUCAUGUACUCUUCUUUAUAUAAUCAAUCGGCAAAGCCAUCUGUGGUAAGCUUCAGUUUCUAAUGAGGCAUAUAAUUAAUGAGUAAAUCUCAUGAAACUAAGGUUAUAGGAAAUCAUGGAUGAAGACUUUUGUUCCUAAGUAUUUUGGGGAUCAAAACGACAUUUGAAAGGAAAAAAAAUAUGCAUACCUAUUAUUUUUAUAAUUUACAAAAAGGUUUAUGAAAAAAGGUAGGUCACAAAAAAAAUAUAGUUAAAAAUCCGUACUAAUAUGCCUAUGAUCCAAAAAUAAAUCUUUACGGAAAAGUAAACAACGAAAACAUACAUUACAUUAUAUAUAUGCAAAUUGAAACAGUUAAUUACAAAAAAAAAUAGUCAUAUGAACCCAAGUAUAUCGUUUUAACAUGAAAACUCAAAUACCAGAACGAUCCAACAUAUAUACACUCACCAGAUAUACACACCAUACAUUACUAUGAACUGAAAAACAAUAAAAUAUAUGCAACCCAUGGAUAG